rnacentral:rRNA from 1 species
UACAGAGGGGGCAAGCGUUGUUCGGAAUUACUGGGUGUAAAGGGCGCGUAGGCGGCCUGCUAAGUCGAACGUGAAAUCCCCGGGCUCAACCCGGGAACUGCGUCCGAUACUGGAUGGCUUGAGUUUGGGAGAGGGAUGCGGAAUUCCAGGUGUAGCGGUGAAAUGCGUAGAUAUCUGGAGGAACACCGAUGGCGAAGGCAGCCCCCUGGGUCAACACUGACGCUCAUGCACGAAAGCGUGGGGAGCAAACAGG